rnacentral:rRNA from 1 species
GCGUGCGGGAAGAAGGCCUUCGGGUUGUAAACCGCUUUUGUCAGGGAAGAAAUCUUUUGGGAUAAUACCCCAGAAGGAUGACGGUACCUGAAGAAUAAGCACCGGCUAACUACGUGCCAGCAGCCGCGGUAAUACGUAGGGUGCAAGCGUUAAUCGGAAUUACUGGGCGUAAAGCGUGCGCAGGUGGUUGUGCAAGACAGAUGUGAAAUCCCCGGGCUUAACCUGGGAACUGCAUUUGUGACUGCACAGCUGGAGUGCGGCAGAGGGGGAUGGAAUUCCGCGUGUAGCAGUGAAAUGCGU